rnacentral:rRNA from 1 species
GACGAACGCUGGCGGCGUGCUUAACACAUGCAAGUCGAGCGGUAAGGCCCUUUCGGGGGUACACGAGCGGCGAACGGGUGAGUAACACGUGGGUGACCUGCCUUUAGCUCUGGGAUAAGCCUGGGAAACUGGGUCUAAUACCGGAUAUGACUCCAUGAUGCAUGUUGUGGGGUGGAAAGCCUUGUGCGGCUGGAGAUGGGCCCGCGGCCUAUCAGCUUGUUGGUGGGGUGANGGCCUACCAAGGCGACGACGGGUAGCCGGCCUGAGAGGGCGACCGGCCACACUGGGACUGAGACACGGCCCAGACUCCUACGGGAGGCAGCGGUGGGGAAUCUUGCGCAAUGGGCGAAAGCCUGACGCAGCGACGCCGCGUGAGGGAUGACGGCCU